rnacentral:rRNA from 1 species
UUGGAGGGCAAGUCUGGUGCCCGCAGCCGCGGUAAUUCCAGCUCCAAUAGCGUAUAUUAAAGUUGUUGCAGUUAAAAAGCUCGUAGUUGAAUUUCGGGGUUCAUCCGUUGGUCGGGCUUCACGGUCCGUACUGGUGUGAUGGGUUCCUACCUUCUGAAUAACCGGCAUGCCAUUAAUUUGGUGCGCCGGGGAAGCAGAACUAUUACCUUGAAAAAAUUAGAGUGCUUAAAGCAGGCAAGUGCCUGAAUAGGUUAGCAUGGAAUAAUAAAAUAGGACGGCAUGGUUCUAUUUUGUUGGUUUCUAGGAUCACCGUAAUGAUUAAUAGGGAUAGUUGGGGGCAUUAGUAUUCAAUUGUCAGAGGUGAAAUUCUUGGAUUUAUUGAAGACUAACUUCUGCGAAAGCAUUUGCCAAGGAUGUUUUCAUUAAUCAAGAACGAAAGUUAGGGGAUCGAAGACGAUCAGAUACCGUCGUAGUCCUAACCAUAAACUAUGCCGACUAGGGAUCGGACGAUGUUAAUUUUUUAAUGACUCGUUCGGCGCCUUACGGGAAAC